rnacentral:lncRNA from 1 species
CUACAUAAAAUGAAGCCUCCACCAUGGAAAUAAAUAAUCAGGGGCAAUUUUUUGGCAGGAGAGGAAUCAAAUGCUUCCCGGGGGACGAAUAUCCGAGCCCAAGUGCCCUUCGAUUGGUUUAUGUCCAAGUCCUUCGAAAGAUGAAAAGGGUUGCUAGGAUCGGACGAGGCAGGGGUGCCCGGAAGUUGAGCCAGGCGUGUGAUGGAGCCAUCAGGGUUUUUGGCCAUUCCCAGGUAGCCAUAGGGUUUUCAUUGGGAUCAACUGGCUGCUGAACUUGAUCUGGCAUGAUGAUUUUCUUAGACAAAGGUUCUGUGGAUAGAAGGUAUUUUUGGAGGCAGUAGAGUCUUGAUAGUUUUCUCUCGGGCUGCUAAUUUGUUGUACAACAUGUAGUAGUUGGUGGCAAUUGAUUCAACUUUGAAGAUCAAUCAAUAACUGCAAAGUGCCAACAACUCCUUUGUUUUUUUUUUUAUUUUUUUAUUUGACCGAGGAGUACAACAAUAGUUUUCAAACUUGCCGGGAAGAUGUAAAUGUUGACCACUUCUUCAACUUGAGACAGGAGACGGUCAAUUUUGGCAAUUGAAUUUCGAUUAGUAUUAAUUAGACUCAGGAGGGCUCUUAAGAAGCCCAAAAGUUGAAAAAGAAGUAAAAUCUGGAGGGUUCCAAGUUCCAACUUAUACGUUCAAGGUGAUUUUGGAACGUCCCUGGGUAGCACAGGAGGAGAUUUUAGAAGCAGAAAUUUUGGGAGUUGUUACCCCAGGGAUGAUUUCUUCUUAAGGGGAUUUGUCGCUCCUUAUCUCUACAAUAAUAAAGUUUGUGUAGGUAUUAACUUUGUUUGUUUUCAAAUUUAUCUUUAUAUCUAUUAUUCAUUUUUAUUAUCCUUUAAUCAUUAUCUUAUCCAUUAAUCGUUAUCUCUAUUAUCAACUGAAACACAAAUUCUACCCAAGCAAAAUUACCUCCCUUCAAUUCUCGCAUUCUCCCUUAUCAAUGCAUUUUUUACUUCCAAUUGUACAUAUCUAUAUAAUACACUUUUUAUCACAUAUUACAUGAAAUAGUUACGCUUACUUGCAUUAUUUUUGUAAUUCUUUUAAUUAAAAAUACUUUUUGACAAGUUGCACACGCAUCAACUGUGCCUUGAUAGCUAGUAACUAAUAAUGAUGAAUAAAGUGAUAGUUUAUUAGUUUGCCAAUUUUUUCGACGAUUUUCUCCCUCUUCCAAACAUCCAAGUAAACUGGCACAACAAUUUGAGUUCAAUUUUUAUUUUAAACUCCACCCAAAAUAUUCUUGUUUAUUGGUACAUCGGGUAAAAUGCGCUGAAGUUGACCUCUAUUGUUGCAUGAUUAUAUUUCAGUUGUAUAAUAUUGAAAAGACACGAUGAAAAUAUAGGACAUGGAUAUUGUUAUUGACAUAGAAAAUCAUCCAACAGAUAUAUUACUCUUCAUUUAGAUGUAAUUAGACUUUAUUUUUUCCACUCAAAAUGCUUGUUGAUGCACCUUUACUUUCCAGUAAAGUUGCAACCUCCCUGUUCGAGUACAGAUGAAAUGUAGAAAAUGGAAUUUUACAAAAGAAAAAAACAGCUAACGAACGAAAAAGAUGGGAAAAAAUUUAGGCAUCAUGAAAGGCAAUACUAGUAUUUUUUUUUUUUUGGUAAGUGAAAAGUUUUGAAUUAAAGGACCUCGUACUUAUCAUUUUUUCCAUUUUAUCACCCAACUCAAUCCCCUCUCGAGUACUUGUAGUAUAAGUUUUGUAUAACUGAUACAACUAUUAUCCUGUUACACUACUAUACAAAUCAAAGACCUAAUUGUAUUAUUAUCUACAGUAUUUGAAAACAGAAGGGCAGAGACAAAGAGAGAAGAAAUGUAUGGAAAGUUAAUUUUUUACGUAAGGAAAAUCCUAUUACCCAAAAAUUAUCACUCAUGUAACUAGAUGACAAUUUUGGGACAAGAAAUGUAAAAAUAUUACUACAUCAAAAGUCCAGCUCACUUGAUGUAAUCAAAAGUAGUCCAUAUAUUAACCCCUGCAAUAUUUAUUAUUACAUCAAACAGUAUUGUGACACGGGCAUUAAUCUUUUUUUUUUUUUUAUCUUGGUAAUAAACUGGGCUUUUAUCCAAUGACUGCAUCAAUACAAUAAAGUAGCAUUGCAUCGUAAUGCAUACAAAUGAAAUUAGCUACUAAGCCACCAAAUAGAAAAGCAAGUUCUACCAUACCAGCGUACUAGCUUUGCUUAGCUGAACUUUUUGGCUUUUGACCUGUUGUAAGAUCAAAAUAACUUCCCAAGCACAUACUUUUUCAAGAAGUGGUGGUAGAUUCUACGAGGUCCUUAAUGGUAAUGGCCAGUUCUUUAGCCUUGGAGGGAUCUCCAAACUCAUACCCAUGACAUCCUCCCUCAUCAAACUUACCUGCUACCGGUACACCAUUCUCUUCUAAUUUCUUCCAAAGCUCAAUCUGGCGGUCUAUUAACAGAUCACCGUCACAGCCAGUGACCAAAAUCUUCCACCCUAGAGAUUUGACCUGAUCAAAUUGGUCUGGCUUAAUCUUCGCCAUUGGAUUGCAAUACUCAUGAUCGCGGUCAACGCCGAUUGGCAAGCUCAGAUCCCACAACAGAUCACUUAAUGUCAACGGUACAACCCUGUCCUUGGCGAGCCUCAACUCUGAUUCAGUCCUCUCGAUCCCACCAAAGUAUGGCUGAUGCAAUAUCAACCCUUUGAUCUGCAGAGGCAGGAGUUCGUCAACACACGCAGCUACAUGGAGGCCAACAUGAUAAGCUAUGUUACCACCAGCGCUACUGCCCAUCAAGAAAGCCUUAGACAAGUCAGCAUGUUUUUCCAGCCAUUCAUCGUUGGAGUUUUGAUGAUCCAAUGCAAGGCUUCGAAGCAAUCUUCAUAAGCUGCAGGAAGUCGGUGCUCCGGAGCAAGACGGUACUCGACGGAGACUACGACAGCCGGAAUUUCAGUAACAAUUGGAGUGUACAAAGCAUCAAACCUGGCUGUAUUUACACUACACGCCACGAAGCCUCCGGCAUGAAAAUAAAUAAUGAGGGGCAAUUUUUGUUUAGGGGAGGAAUCAUCAUCAUCAAACGCUUUCCGCGGAACGAAUAUUCGAGCCCAGGUGCCCUUCGAUUGGUUUAUGUCCAAGUCCUUUGAAAGAUGAAAAGGGCUGCUAGGAUCGGACGAGGCAGGUGUGCUCGGUGGUUGAAACAGGCGUGUGAUUGAGCCAUCGGGAUUUUUUGCCAAUCCAUGUAGCCAUAGGGGUUUUCAUUAGGAUCAACUGGCUGCUGAACUUGAUCUGACAUGAUGGUUUUCUUGGACAGAUGUUUUGUGGGUAGGAAAGGAUAGAAGGUAUAUUUGUAGAGGCAGCAGAGUCUUGAUAGUUUUCUCUCUGGCUGCGUUGGCUGAUAGGAUUUGUAGUUUAGACGAUUAGUAUAAGUGUUUGCCUCACACUCUCAUACACAAGAACGCCGUUCUAUCUGCUAAUUUGUCGUACAACAUGUAGCAAUUGAUUGAACUUUGAAGAUCAGUCAAUAAGUGCUAAGUGCCAACAACUCCUUUUGUUUUUUUAUUAUUUUUUUAUUUGACCGAGGAGUGGAAUAAUAGUUUUCAAACUUCCCGGGAAGAUGAAAAUAUUGACCACUUCUUCAACUUGAGACUGGAGACCGUCAAAUUUGGCAAUUGAAUUUCGAUUAUUAUUAAUUAGACCGAGGACUCGAGGGCUCUUAAGAAGCCCAAAAGUUGAAAAAGAAGUAAAAUCUGGGAGGGUUCCAACUUAUAAGUUCAAGGUGAUUUUGGAACGUCCCCGGUAGCACAGAAGGAGAUUUUGGGAGCAGAUAUUUUGGGAGUUGUUACCCCUAGGGGUGAUUUCUUCUAAAGGGGGUUUGUCAUUUCUUAUCUCUACAAUAAUAAAGUUUGUGUCGGUAUUAACUUUGUUUGUUUUCAAAUUUAUUUUUAUCUCUAUUUUUUUAAUGAUUAGCUUCUCCAUUAAUCAUUAUUUCUAUUAUCAACUGAAACACAAAUUUUAUCCAAUCAAAAUUAUCUCCCUUCAAUUCUCACAUUCUCCCUUACUAAUGCGUUUUUUACUUCCAAUUGUACAUAUUUCUGUAUAAUACACUUUUUUCACAUAUUACAUAAAAUAGUUACGCUCAUUUGCACUAUUUUUGUAAUUCUUUCAAUUAAAAAUAUUUUUUGACAAAUUGCACACGCAUUAAGUGUGCCUCGAUGACUAGUAGUAACUAAUAAUGAUGAAUAAAGGGAUAGUUUAUUAGUUUUACAAUUUUUUGGACGAUUUUCUCUAUCUUCCAAACAUCCAAGUAAACUGGCACAACAAUUUGAGUUCAAUUUUUAUUAUAAACUCCACCCAAAAUAUUCUUGUUUAUUGGUACAUCAGGUAAAAUGCGGUGAAGUUGACCUCUAUUGUUGCAUAAUUAUAUUUCAGUUGUAUAAAAUUGAAAAGACAAGAUGAAAAAUAUAGGACAUGGAUAUUAUUAUUGACACAGAAAAUCAUUCAACAGAUAUAUUACUUUUCAUUUAGAUGUGAUUAGACUUUAUUUUUUCCACUCAACAUGCUAGUUGAUGCACCUCUACUUUCCGUAAAGUUGCAACCUCCUGUCGAGUACAGAUGAAAUGUAGAAAAUGGAAUUUUACAAAAGAAAAAGACAGCUAAGGAACGAAAAAGAUGGGGAAAAAAAAUUUAGGCAACAUGAAAGCCGAUAUAGUUUUUUUUAUUUUAUAAAUAAAAAGUUUUGAAUUCAGAAUCUCUUACUUGUAAUUCUUUCCGAACACUAGUCGUAUAAGUUUUGUAUAACUGAUACAACUAUCAUCCCGUUACACUACCAUACAAAUCCAAGACCUAAUUGUAUUAUUAUCUCUUUGAAAACAGAAGGGCACAGACAAUUUUAUCACUCAUGUAACUAGAUGACAAUUUUGGGACAAGAAAAGUCCAAAUAUUACUACAUCAAAAGUCCAGCUCACUCGAUAUAAUCAAAAGUAGUCCAUACUGCACACAAAUGAAAUUAGCUAGUAAGCCACCAAACAGAAAAGCUAGUUCUACCAUACCAGCGCACUAGCUUGGCUUAGCUGAACUUUUUGGCUUUUGACCUGUUGUAAGAUCAAAAUAGCUUCCCAAAGCACAUACUUUUUCAAGAAGUGGUGGUAGAUUCAACAAGGUCUUUAAUAACAAUGGCUAGUUCUUUAGCCUUUGUGGGAUCUCCAAGCUCAUACGCAUGAGCUCCUCCCUCAUCAAACUUGCCUGUCACCGAUACACCUUUCUCUUCUAAUUUCUUCCAAAGCUCAAUCUGCCGAUCUAUCAUCAGAUCACCAUCAAAGCCAGUGACCAAAAUCUUCCACCCCAGAGAUUUGACCUGAUCAAAUUGGUCUGGCUUAAUCUUCGCCAUUGGAUUGCAAUACUCAUGAUCGCGGUCAACGCCGAUUGGCAAGCUCAGAUCCCACAUCAGAUCAGUUAACGACAGCGGUACAAACCUGUCGUUGGCGAGCCUCAACUCUGACUCAGUCCUCUCGAUCCCACCAAAGAAUGGUUGAUGCAUUAUCAACCCUUUGAUCUGCAGAGGCAGAGAUCGUCAACACAUGCAGCUACUUGGAGGCCAACAUGAUAAACAAUGUUACCCAACCAGCUACUGCCCAUCAAGAAAGCCUUAGAAAAGUCAGCAUGUUUUGACCACCUCGUCGUUGGAGUUUUUGAUGAUCCAAUGCAAGCUUCGAAGCAAUCUUCAUAAGCUGCAGGAAGUCGGUGCUCCGGACCAAGACGGUACUCGACGGAGACAACUACAGCCGGAAUUUCAGUAACAAUUGGAGUGUACAAAGCAUCAAACAUGGCUGUAUUUACGCUACACGCGACGAAACCUCCAGCAUGAAAAUAAAUAAUGAGGGGCAAUUUUGUUUAGGGGAGGAAUCAUCAUCAUCAAAUGCUUUCCGAGGAACGAAUAUUCGAGCCCAGGUGCCCUUCGAUUGGUUUAUGUCCAAGUCCUUUGAAAGAUGAAAAGGGUUGCUGGAUCGGACGAGGCAGGUGUGCUCGGUGGUUGAAACAGGCGUGUGAUUGAGCCAUCGGGAUUUUUUGCGAUUCCCAGGUAGCCAUAGGGGUUUUCAUUAGGAUCAACUGGCUGCUGAACUUGAUCUGACAUGAUGGUUUUCUUGGACAGAUGUUUUUUUGUAGAUAUAAAGGAAGAUAAUUGUAGAGUUUAUAAGGUAUUUGUAGAGCCUUGCCAGCUAGUUUGACGUUUACUCUCGUUGCUCUUGAUAAUGACUUGUACUAUAUGGGAUUAACAUUCCUAUGACAUAAUUUAUCCUAACCUUGGAAAGGGAAAAUCGAUGAAAGUAAAAAUUUCAUCAGAUAAAGUCAUUGAAGACAGCUA